UUGAUUUUCCGACUCAUCUUUUAGGGCUAGGAGCCUUGCCUAAUGUACUUGAGUCCCCAGCCUCACCAGCGCAGGACCCCGUCGAGACGCCUACUGAACAAACGCAAUGAUAAUGCCUUAGGUCGCUGUCAUCAAAGCACCGUGAAUCUGACGGUGGAGUCAGAGUUCUGUGAAGGGUCCACCUCUGUGCCUUCCGUACAUUCGCUAGGACGGGGCACCCUGACGGCUCCAGGGGACAAUGAGUGAGCGAAACCUCCGCUCCGCAGGGCUCGUGACUGCUGACCCCUGCGUCCCAGAGGUGCUUGGGGUCGAGGGUCUUGCCUGAUCCUUGUUUUUGACACCACCUAUCCCCACCGUGGCUGCACAGAGGGCCCCUAGAGGCGGUCUGAAGAACACAAGGCCCAGACUCUCACAGUGCCCCGCCCUGUCUCCAUUAGAGCGUCCAGAAUACUUUCCACGAGUUGCUUCCGCUCCUUGGGGUGCCGGGAUCCUGGGCCACCCUUACGCCUCAGCCCCAGGCACUGCACGGAAACCCCGGCCGGGGCGCACCCGGGGCCAGUCCAUAGCCGCCCGGCUCAGAUGACCUGACGGCCGCCGGGCACACCUGGCGCCGUCCCCGACCCCGCCCCUGGCCGGGCGACACCCGGAAAGCUCCCCGCCGGAGCCAGAGCGGCGAAGCAGGAACAUGGAGGCAGUGCCAGCAGUGUGCGCCUCGCAGGGUCCCCCGCCGGGCGCACCGUCCCCGCCGGCCAGCGCGCCCGCGCCCGCGUCCGGCCUGGGCCGCUGCCGGAUGGCGUUGUUGCUGGCCGUGGCGUUGGACGUGGCGGGCAUGGCGGCGCUGCUGACCGGCGUGUUCGCGCAGCUACAGGUGCGCGGUCGAGACUUUGGCGACCUGCUCAUUUACUCGGGCGCGCUGCUCGUCUUCAUGAGCCUGCUGGGCUGGAUCCUCUGGUACACCGGCAACAUCGAGAUAUCGCGCCAGGAACUCGAACGCGACUACGGCCUGCGGCCCUCCGCGCUCGCCCGCCUGGCGCGCAAGCUCUCCCGCCGCUGGUCGGCGCCCGCUUCCGCCGCCGGCCAGCGCACGGCGCCGGGCUCCCGGGGAGCGCGCCGCGCCGCCCGCACACCCCUGCCGCCCAACGCCGGCUCCCGCCGCGUACGCCUGCAGCUCGCCACGCUCGAGGCCGCGCCCGGGGCGGCGGGCGCCGGCACUGAGUGAGCCUGAGCAGGAGUGCCAUGGCUGUCUGUACUCCACAGAAAACUUCCCAUGUGUCCUUUACGAUCCAACUCAACUUCGCUGCCUUUCUCUGGGUCUUCAUAUUACGAACUCACGGCCCCACCUACCAGGACCUGACCAAGAUGUGCAGCUGCUCCCAACAUCGUGUGGCCGCCAGGAUGUCCCCCUGUGCUCCUCUGUCACCUGGAUAAAUGCCUGCCUCCCAGCUCUGCUUGUCUGUCUGGGAGAGGGACAUCACGGGAGCCGGGGUACGGGGAGGGCCCGGGUGGGCUCGGUCACGGCCACGUGCUCCUGACGAUCCCAAAGGCCCCAGGGCCAUAGGAGCCCAGCUUCCCCGGGAUCCUGAGCCCAGACCAACCCUCUCUAUCCAGCCUCCCUCCACCCAGGCCCCUGUGGUGGUGUGGGGCCCUUUGAGAAACAGAC